GGAACUUAACAAUUGGUUUGUUUCAGUGUGUUGUUCCACUCUCUUUACCAUCUGACACUUUGUCCCUGUUGAUCCACAUACCUACCCUGCUUCUGGAGACCCGGGGAGUCUCCUGACCAGAGGGCUUUGACUCCCCAGGAACGUCUUCGCCACUCUGGGUUGACCCAGUCCUAUUGGUCUGAGACCACUGAUGUCUGCUCCCCUAGUAGGAACAAGGAGCUCCAAAGUAGCUCAAACCCCCUCUUGGAUUGGGUCUUGCCUCAUUUGAAUGCCUGGAGCCAAUCGUUCCAGUCUGGUUAUGAUCACUAUUUCAACCCUGGCUACCUAGCCACCCUGUGUCUGGACUCCUGACUCCAGCAGAGCAGGGAGCCCUGAGCAGCCCAACAGCCCCAGGGAGACUCUUAACCAGAGGGCUUGGACUCCCCAGGACAGUCCCCGUUGCUUUUUAACUCCUGAGGAUGAUGUGUUGUACUAGUUAAAUAAAAUGUUACAUGUCAACAACCACCAGGUCCUUCCUGGAGUCCCGGGAUAUUUCCCGAUACUCUGGCUCCACCCACAGCAAGCAUUCUGAGACAGCCACCUGAAAUGUAUGCUCUACUAUUACAGGUAGCCUAGUGGUUAGAGCAUUGGGCCAGUAACCAAAAGGUUGUUAGAUCGAA